UACAGAGGCCUCGAGCGUUAGGCGGAAUCACUGGGCUUAAAGCGUGUGUAGGCGGAGUGCUAAGUCCCUUGUGAAAUCCCACAGCUCAACUGUGGAAUUGCUUGGUAUACUGGCAUUCUUGAGCCAUCUAGGGGCGAGCGGAACAAAUGGUGGAGCGGUGAAAUGCGUAGAUAUCAUUUGGAACGCCAACGGUGAAAACAGCUCGCUGGGGAUGUGCUGACGCUGAGACACGAAAGCCAGGGGAGCAAACGGG
rnacentral:rRNA from 1 species